rnacentral:tRNA from 1 species
GCGAAAGUGGCGGAAUUGGCAGACGCGCUAGACUCAGGAUCUAGUGGUAGCAAUACCAUGGGGGUUCAAAUCCCCCCUUUCGCA